rnacentral:lncRNA from 1 species
AUGAAAUAUAGAAAAUCUGUAAAAAAAAAUAUAUUCUGUAAAAUUGUGUCUUCAACAUUAAGUAUAAAAUUAAGUAAAUGUUUUUUGUAUGUUUUUCUUCCACAGAGUGCUAAAGAGUUGAUUAAAAAGAUCAUUGACACUUCCAAGGCCUCCAACAUAGAGCGAACAGACCCAGGGUACGAGAGCAUGGACCACUUUAUUAUCAACACUGACGACAUAGCUGACAUGCUGAGGACAAUAGACUUCCAAUCAGGUACCUUCCACUGCCAGAUACCAUAGGUUUCUUUGUCAAAUGCACUGUGUGUAAGUGUUAGCUCAUCUCUGCCCUCUUGAUUUCUUUCUGGAGUGGCUCAGCCCACACUCUUAUAGUCACGGACUCCUCCUCUCUUGUUUAAUUCAACUUGCCCUGGAACUUUGCUGUGCCUUUUGACCUAAUAACUUUUUUUUACGUUCUUGAAAUCAGAAGUACAGUACCCCAGUUUAUUAUGGUUUAUUAGUACCUCGGUUUAUUAAGGUUUAUGUAUAGUUUUAAACUGAUAAAAUAGCAAUUACAGAUGUGAAUAGGAAAGACAAAAGCCCUAUUAUUUGUA